rnacentral:rRNA from 1 species
UACGAAGGGGGCUAGCGUUGCUCGGAAUGACUGGGCGUAAAGGGCGCGUAGGCGGAGUGCUUUGUCGGGCGUGAAAUUCCAGGGCUCAACCUUGGGGCUGCGUUCGAGACGGGCAUUCUAGAGUGGAGAAGAGGGUCGUGGAAUUCCCAGUGUAGAGGUGAAGUUCGUAGAUAUUGGGAAGAACACCGGUGGCGAAGGCGGCGACCUGGCCCAUUACUGACGCUGAGGCGCGACAGCGUGGG